rnacentral:rRNA from 1 species
AGGCAGCAGUGGGGAAUAUUGCACAAUGGGGGAAACCCUGAUGCAGCCAUGCCGCGUGUGUGAAGAAGGCCUUCGGGUUGUAAAGCACUUUCAGUAGGGAGGAAGGUAGUGUAGUUAACACCUGCAUUAUUUGACGUUACCUACAGAAGAAGCACCGGCUAACUCCGUGCCAGCAGCCGCGGUAAUACGGAGGGUGCGAGCGUUAAUCGGAAUUACUGGGCGUAAAGCGCAUGCAGGCGGCCUGUUAAGUCAGAUGUGAAAGCCCGGGGCUUAACCUCGGAAUUGCAUUUGAAACUGGCAGGCUAGAGUCUUGUAGAGGGGGUAGAAUUUCAGGUGUAGCGGUGAAAUGCGUAGAGAUCUGAAGGAAUACCGGUGGCGAAGGCGGCCCCCUGGACAGAUACUGACACUCAGAUGCGAAAGCGUGGGGAGCAAACAGGAUUAGAUACCCUGGUAG